CCUACGGGAGGCAGCAGUGGGGAAUCUUGCACAAUGGGGGAAACCCUGAUGCAGCGACGCCGCGUGGGUGAUGAAGUCCUUCGGGAUGUAAAGCCCUUUCGACAGGAACGAUAAUGACGGUACCUGGAGAAGAAGCUGCGGCUAACUACGUGCCAGCAGCCGCGGUAAUACGUAGGCAGCGAGCGUUGUUCGGAGUUACUGGGCGUAAAGAGUAUGUAGGCGGUUGGGCAAGUUUGGUGUGAAAUCUCCCGGCUUAACUGGGAGGGUGCGCUAAAUACUGCCUGGCUAGAGUGCGGGAGAGGGGAGCGGAAUUCCUGGUGUAGCGGUGAAAUGCGUAGAUAUCAGGAGGAACACCUGCGGUGUAGACGGCUCCCUGGACCGUGACUGACGCUGAGAUACGAAAGCGUGGGUAGCAAACAGGAUUAGAUACCCCGGUAGUC
rnacentral:rRNA from 1 species